GUUGUGACUUUAAUUAGUGCCUUGUCUUUGAAUUUUAAAUGCCCUAUCAUUGUGAAUGUCUUAUUAUGUUGUUUAGAUGAUGUUGCAUCUGUUAAGUGUGUUAUGUUAAUGUGUUGCUAUGUUGUUUAGGUGGUGUUGUAUACAUAUGUGCUGGCCUCGCUGCGGUGGUGUUUCUGUUAGUGCUCUGUCUGUUCAUGCUCUACACACAGAGGACCAGAGGCAGGAAGUCAUUGGAUCCCCCUGCUGGACACAGACCUAACACUGACUCAGGAAAUACUCAACAGGGUCAGUGUGAUUACUCUGACAUCACUUUCAAUCCUCACGUCUCCACCUCCAGCCCCGCCCCACCCAGCACAGACCCCUCCACCAUCUACGCCAACGUUCAACUGCCGUCCAAUCAGAAUCCAGACUCUCUCCAGUACGCCACCGUGAGAUUCACUGAUCCGCCAGCAGGGGGAGACAAAGGACAAAGCCCCCCGGGGAUAGAGAGGGAGAGAGCAGUCAUAUACUCCAGCAUCAACCUCUAGAGAGAAAGCCCACUUUAGUUAUAGUGCAAGGGCAUACACAUACAAGGGCUUGGAUUUAGGUUUAAGGAGGAAAAGACAAAGAAAGUUAGGGACUGAGAAGAAAAAGAUGAAAUAAAAUGAAAUAAAAUGAAAAAGAAGGUUUGAUUCGUUUUUAUAUUUUGUUUUUUUGGCCUCCAUACUCUUCUGUCAUUACUGUUUUUAUUUUAAUUUUUUUAUUUAAUCUAUUUAUUAUUAUUUCACUGUUUUUGCAUCCCAGUUUGUUACCAGUUAAUUACUUAUUUAUGUAUUCAUUUAUAUCUGCCCAAUGUAUCUAUUUAAAGACAUCCUCUAAGGAUGUUUCUAUGAUCCAUUUAACUAUGGUGUAUUUACUCAUCUUGCUGUGGGCAGUGACGUGUAUUAUCUUAAAUGAACGUCAUGUAAUUGCUGUGGGUAGUUUACAGUGACGUGUAUUAUUUCAAAUGAAUGUCAUGUAAUUGCUGUGGGUAGUGACGUGUAUUAUUUCAAAUGAAUGUCAUGUAAUUGCUGAGGGUAGUUUACAGUGACGUGUAUUAUUUCAAAUGAAUGAUAUGUAAUUGCUGUUGGUAGUUUACAGUGACGUGUAUUAUUUCAAAUGAAUGUCAUGUAAUUGCAGUGGAAGGAUGAAGCAAGACCAAUCCACUCCUACACAUUUCAGUAGUUCUCAUCAUGUCACGUGACUCUUCUUGAAGGUUUUGGCACUUAUGAAAGAGAGAUGGCCCUUCUUGAAACUUUUGGCAUUCAUGAAAGAGAGCUGGAAACUAGUCUUUUCUGCUUAUAAGCAUAUUGGUGAAACGACCAGUGGUAUGCCUAGAAUAGAAAACAUGUUAAUGUUAUCAUAGAUGACAAGCAUCUCAGAAAGUAAACAAAUUAAACACGGACUCUUUUGGGUCUGGUAAGAUAUCUCUACAGUAUGUUUCAAGUUUGUUUAGUUCUGUGUAAUAAGUUUCACUUAAAAAUAAGCCACAGACAAGAAUG
ensembl:lncRNA